rnacentral:sRNA from 1 species
GUCACGGGAUCGUUAGAGGAAAUCAUAUUGCUGCCCCACUUCCGCCCAUCGACCGCCCCGCUGCCUUGCAAAAAGAAAAUCCUGCGUUGGCCCGGUCCUUUCGGUUCCGGAUUCCUCAGCCCCCAGCCCCCCGGGGCCGUCGGGAUCGGGCCUGUUCGCAGGGGAGCUAAUCCCCGUACUGGGCCAACGAAAGUUGGUCCUUUU